rnacentral:rRNA from 2 species
UCCAGGCCCUACGGGGUGCAGCAGGCGCGAAAACUUUACAAUGCCGGCAACGGCGAUAAGGGGACCUCGAGUGCCAGGUUACAAAUCUGGCUGUCGUGAUGCCUAAAAAGCAUUGC